AGAGAGAUGUAUCUCCGCAUGACCUGAAAGCUGCAAAGCCAGGCAGGGGUUGAAAGUGAGCAAAUCUCCGUUCACGUCUCUCUGGACGAAAAAGGAAUAACACAAUUCCAAAUCCCUCUUCACAUUUCCAAGGU